AUCCCAGUUGGCUCAGUUGGUUACAGUGUGGUGCUGAUGAUGCCAAGGUUGUAGGUUUGAUCCCCGUAUGGGCCA